CUUUCUUUGAGCAUGAGAAGAUACACAGCAAAACUAAAGAGGGUCUCUGUGAGGCCAAGUGACAAUUUGAACAAUUACCCUGGAGCCAUUACCUCUGCUGGAACCUGACUGGUUGGGAAGAGCCAGAGGAGUGAGUGAGUGAGUGCGUGUGUGGGAGUGUGCACACACCACGACGUAGAUGCAUGAGCAGAUGCUUCUCCAGAGUCAUUUACUGCAUCGACACUUAUGUGGUGGUUGUUACAGCACAGCAGGUGUGAGAGUGAAAAGCAAAGACAGCAGGAAGAUUUGAGACA